rnacentral:rRNA from 1 species
GACGUAGGGCGCGAGCGUUGUCCGGAUUUAUUGGGCGUAAAGAGCUCGUAGGCGGCUUGUCGCGUCGACUGUGAAAUCCCGCGGCUCAACUGCGGGUCUGCAGUCGAUACGGGCGGGCUAGAGUUCGGUAGGGGAGACUGGAAUUCCUGGUGUAGCGGUGAAAUGCGCAGAUAUCAGGAGGAACACCGAUGGCGAAGGCAGGUCUCUGGGCCGAUACUGACGCUGAGGAGCGAAAGCGUGGGGAGCGAACAGG